rnacentral:lncRNA from 1 species
GCACUUGGGAGGCAGAGGCAGAUGGAUCUGUGUGAAUUCAAGGCCAGCCUGGUCUACAGUGUGAAUUCCAGGAUAGCCAAAGUUGCACAGAGACACAGAGAAACCCUGUCAUGAAAAGCAAAACAGCAGCAGCAGCAGGAACAGCAACAACAACAACAGAAAGAAAGAAAAAGACAGGGUUUGUGUAAUCUUGGCUCUCCUGGAACUCACUCUCCAGACCAGGAUGACCUCAAACUCCAAUCUACCUGCUGAUUGCCACCAUGCCUGGCUAUGUUUUUAUUUACUUACCAGACAGGGUCUUUCUACAUAGCUCUGGCUGUCCUCAAAGUGUGUAGACCAGGCUGCUUCCUGAGUGCUUGGAAUUAAAGGAAGGCACCACCACCCCGGCUCUGGGCCAAUGAGAACGGCACCAAAAGACCCGCUGCUGCUCGUCUACCCAUUACUGAUUCAUCUCCACUCCAGAAGUCUAAAGAAACAGAAGACGAUCAGUUUCACUCCAAUGGUCAAAUAACUGUGUACUGACUGUCUCAGGUGAUCCUAAAGCCAACUCACCAAUGUAGUAAAAGCCCAAGUGUGACCGACUGAAGGAGAAAAGAGAGAACUACAGAUUGCAUUAAGUUGUUCUAUUAUUUAUUACAUGUAAAUCCAGAAUCUGAGGAUACAGGCUCAUCUACAACUCACAAAGCUCAAGACAAAACCUUGAAGACUAAAACCACAACACAUGAGAAGAGCAGCCUCUGCCUCCCGAGUGCUGGGAUUAAAGGCGUGCACCUCCAUGCCUGGCUCAAAACUUUAUCUUUUAAUGUAUUACAUGCUUCACAGAUUUCAAUUUUAUAUUUAGAAAAUCAAGUAAAUUUUCUUAGACAAGUUUAGAAGGAAUAUGAAAAAAUUACAUUUUUGAGAAUUUCACUGUUAUUGCUCUGCCAAAUCCUAAAUGUUUCUGAACAGCCCCAGAACUGUAAUAGAAACUACUAUUAGCUAUUUUUUACUUUAUUCUUCUGUGUGUACAUGCAUCCUUGUGUGUACACGUGUGUGCUGAAGCCAGAGGCCAGCAUAUAUAGUCUUCCUCUGCCACUCCCCAUCUUGUUCGUUUGAGACAGGGUCUGUCUCUCACUGAACCUGGUGACAGUCAACAAGCUCCAGGAAUUCUCCUGUCUUCACUUGUUUGUGGUGAGUUAACAGACAUACCUCACCACGUCUAGCUAGCUUUUUAUGUGUGCAUUUGGGAUACAAUGUCAUUCUGGAUAGCUCUCAUUUAAUAUUAUAAUGUCUCAUUCUAUCCAAAACAAAACAUUCUAAUUCACUAAUAACAUCUGAAUUUUAAUACAUUUAGAAAAAUGAAGUAAUUUAUCUUGAGUUUACUCUGUGUACAGCCAUUUCACUUUUUCAUUUUUUCCCUUCUGAACUGUUUCCUUCUUUGUUCACUAUGAGGAAAUUAUCUCUAAAAACUAGCUUUAGUAACACACAAUUUUACUUAAACAGAAGAAAAGAGUCCAACAUAACAAAAAUUGCUGUAAAGCAUCAAAAUUUGAUAAAUUACUUACUAUUUUGUUACAUGGCUAUUGCCAAGUUUACUUUUUAAAUUUUAGACAGAAAAUAAUUUUUAGGAAGCACAAUUAGUCUUCAAAACACACUGCAUAAUCCUGAAAUGAGGCAGGUGGGUGACUUCUGCUGACUGCUAACGGAUCAGGAAGGCAAGCAAACCCAACAAAGUCUGCCUCGAUUCCUGAGAGGAAUAAUGACUUGUAAAUCCCUGCUCUUUCCAAAUGUCAGAUGUGAAUGAGACCUAGUAGCUGCAUAAUCCAAAUGUGUGUGGAGUUAGAGAAACGCUUCUCCAAAGGCCACAGAGAGGGGGCUGCUUUGUGGGGUGCGGUCAUCUCCACACUGACUCUUCCUUCUGGGUAGGUCUAAAGAGAGGCUGGCUUACAUGCCAGAACCUCAGCUGGGCUAGAAUAUUCUGCUCCCUGUCCUGUCUAGAAAAUAUCCCUUUUGUAAACUGCUUGGAUACAAAUGUAAGAUGCCCAAGGGACCAACAAAAAUUUGAUAGUAAAGACAUUUAAAAUCACCCAUUUCCCAGAUGUAAGCAAGGGGGGGGGGGGGUGAUAUACCUCUACAUUUCAGCCAUAUUGCUACCUUUGGGCAAUGUCAUGUAACCUUCCUUGUUAAAAACCAAAGACUGAAUCAUGGGGAACUACAAACUACAUUAACAUUUUAUUCCAUAAAUUUAAACUAAUUUAUAUGUUGCCUUAUCCCUGAAAGCUUUGCUUAUUCCUGGUGAAAACUUCUACAUGCUGACCAUGUUAUAACAUUAACAUAUGAGAUCCAAAUAUCUAAAUGACCUGAAAUCCUGACAGUACCCAAAGGUCACCACUCUGCCCACAGCUCUGACCCCAACAACUGGCACAUGUAGCACUUACUGGAGGGAUUGUUGAACAGCUUAGGGCACUGCCCGCAGACGUAACACUCAAUGUUCUUGUUCUAUGCCGAGUAACACUACUCAUACUCUCUUCGUCUCUAGAAUAAAUAAAAUUUAAGAAAC